rnacentral:lncRNA from 1 species
CAGCCGUGAACGGGGAAGAGGGAGGGGAAAAGGGAAGAGGGAAGAGGGAAGAGGCUGUAGGAUGGCUGCAGUGAAUGGGUAAGAAGGCAACGGUUAAUGGGGAAGAAGGCAGUGGUGAAAGGGGAAGAAGACAGCAAUGAAUGGGGAAGAGGGAAGAGGCUAUGGGAGGCCUGCGGUGAAUGGAGAAGAAGGCAGCGAUGAACAGGGAAGAGGGAAGAGGCUGCGGUGAACGUAGGAGGGCUGCGGUGAACAGGGAAGGAGUGGAAGAGAGAGAUAUACCGGGAGGGAGGGGAAGAAGCCAUUGCCGUUGCUGCUAAAGGAAGAUGCUGCCGCUGGAGGAAGAUGUUGCUGCAGCCGCUGCUGCUGGAAGAAGACGUUGCUGCCGCCGCUGCUGUCGUUCAUCGAUGGGAGGAACUCCGUCACCGUGCAAAAAAGAAGCGAGAAAGGGUUUCUGUGUUAGGGCUCACACGUGGACAGGUCUCAAUCAAACUCUGUGGUCAUCGACUUAGGGUCUAACCGGUUGAACUGAACCAGAUACAAUUCUUUGGUUCAACUCAGGCUCGAACUAGCCUGAGUUGAACCAGGCAUCCGCCCGGCGAGCGUUGACGCCCACCCAGUUCAUUAGGUGGGCACUCGGGCCUCGCUUCACCUCACCUCACCUCGCCUAGGUGAAUGCUUGGGCAACUAAUGAUUUCACUAGUCGGUAUGCUUUGAGUUAUGAACAAAUCACGAAGAAAGCUGAAAAAUAGAAAAAAAAAAAUCAUCUGGUAGAAGUCGAUAGACUCCACUCAUCAUACUAAAUCAUACCGAAUAGUAUUGCAAACCCUGGUUUUGGAUGAAAUAAUAAAAUUUUUGGUUAAAGUUGAUAUUAAGAAAAUUAAACUUGAUAUUGUAAAGGGCUAAUAGAGAAUCUCUAACAAUUUCUAGAUGAGAAUGCUUUGUAGUUUCAUCUUUCUGUAACUAUACAGAUAUGUGAAAGACAAAGAAUGAGAUGCUCAUAUGUAUCUGAAUCACAAUUUGGCAUCCUGCUGAUUGUAAUAUCUUAGAUUUCAUCUUAUACUUGUUCUGGAUAAGAUUAAUGAUCUUAGUUUACAAAUGUUUUGCAGAUCUAAGAGGUUAGAAUAAAGCUCUCAAAUUCAUUUGAUGAUAUAUUAGAAAGGGGAAGCUUGUCUGACUGGUACUUUUGGGAUUAGCUUCCCCAUUCAGGACUCAUAUUUCCACUCAAAGUGGUUGGAUGGGAAAAGAAAUGAAUGUGAAUUAGGUUCUUGACAAGUGUAAUCGCCGUCGCAAGUAAUUUUCUCUUCAAGUAAUAUGUGCAUAUAAAGUAGCCUUUAUUGGUCCUUGGUGAAAUUUUACCUGCGACAGUAACUGGGCAAUAAGUUUUGCUCUUCUUUCCAAUGUAUUGUUCUCUUUUUUCCUUUCUUUUGUGCUGAAGUUAUCACUUAUAUUAAUGAUGUUAGUCUUGCUCAACCAAAUGGUGCUGUGGAGCAAAUCUUAAGUACCUAAGUAUGAUAUCAUAUCUGCUUUCAGAAUGGCAAUAAAGCAUCAGACCUUGUAAACUGUUUCACAUUCUUUCUCAAGUAACUCGAGUUUCAAUUCUGCUAUUGAUGGUGUCAUAGAGAAUGAGUUCGGAAGGUUGUGGCAGGGCCUCCUGAUUCAGUUCCAAAAAGUUUGGUUGGAUUAUACAUGAAAGAUUGAGAUAAAAAGGCAAUGGGAUGCUGAACUAGAAACUAAUGUCUCAAGAUUUCUUAAAUGCUGAGUAGCAAGAUAAUGGUCACUGAGUGAUUCUGUUUCAGAGCAACAAAUGCUUCUCUAAUAGAAAAGCAAGUUCACUAGUUGAUCAUAAGUAUGACAAUCUUACAAAGCAACAACAAAUAUUUCUCUUUGGCAAAUAUGUUUAUCUCCAAUAUAUUUGUCAGAGUACACAUCACUUGAGGUUGAGGACACAGAGCUCUAAUAUCAAACUAUUUGAAGGAGAUCAGGCUUUCACAAACCACUCAAUCAAAGAAUGAUUUGAGUUACAAUUUUUAAUGAAGCGCAAUUGGAUAAAUGUUCUAAAAAAAAAUUGAUGCUGCAUUCAGAAGAAGCAGAAUGUACCACAAAAUUGCACAAAGAUUUAAAGAUAUAAUUUACUCAAAUUAAUCGAAAGUAAAAGAAUCACUUUUAACAUUGAGAUGUUAUCAACCUAUCAGUAGUGGAAAGAUGAAAUUAUAAAUCUACAAUAAUAGCUGGUUAAUCCGCUUUCACUUCCACCUUAUUCACCUCGGUCAUUAAAAGAAAUAUAAACAAGCAAACAGAAGUUCUAAUUCUAACAGUCUCAAUUGAGAUCACGUCAAAUCAUUCUAUGAUAAUAGAAGGAUUGGAUUCGGGGAAGGCGACGACCAUACCUUGUCGAUCGGGCUGGAGGACGACAUGGCACCCGAGCCCGGCAUGCCUGUUGGCUAUUGGAAGCCAUGGUGAGUGCGUAGCCGCUCGUCGGAGGAUGCGGGCGGGAGCUUGUCGAGCCACUCCUGGGUGAUGUUAACCUCGCCGCACAUGGCCGAGCAGGCAUCGAUGAGGCCGGUGGUGAUCGCGGCGCGGCGGCGGCCGAGGACGAGGAGGAGCGGGCGCGGGCGAGGGACGGGAUCGAACGAGGUGGAGAGGGAGUCGACGGAGAGCGACGAUCGCCAUUGCGAGCUCAAAUCUCUCGAGAACGGGGUGGCGGCUUUGGGAGAGACGAAUU